GACGAACGCUGGCGGCGUGCCUAAUACAUGCAAGUCGUGCGGACUUUGCGGGAGCUUGCUCCCAAGAAGUUAGCGGCGGACGGGUGAGUAACACGUGGGCAACCUGCCUGACAGACUGGGAUAACAUUCGGAAACGAAUGCUAAUACCGGAUAGAAAGCAUUGAGGCAUCUCAAGGCUAGGAAAGGCGCUACGGCGUCACUGUUAGAUGGGCCCGCGGCGCAUUAGCUAGUUGGUGAGGUAACGGCUCACCAAGGCGACGAUGCGUAGCCGACCUGAGAGGGUGACCGGCCACACUGGGACUGAGACACGGCCCAGACUCCUACGGGAGGCAGCAGUAGGGAAUCUUCCACAAUGGGCGAAAGCCUGAUGGAGCAACGCCGCGUGAGUGAUGAAGGCCUUCGGGUUGUAAAACUCUGUCUUCUGGGACGAACGAGCAGGAGAGGGAAUGUUCCUGUUGUGACGGUACCAGAGGAGGAAGCCACGGCUAACUACGUGCCAGCCGCCGCGGUAAAAC
rnacentral:rRNA from 1 species